UACGGAGGGGGCUAGCGUUGUUCGGAAUCACUGGGCGUAAAGCGCACGUAGGCGGCUUCUUAAGUCAGGGGUGAAAUCCUGGAGCUCAACUCCAGAACUGCCUUUGAUACUGAGAAGCUUGAGUCCGGGAGAGGUGAGUGGAACUGCGAGUGUAGAGGUGAAAUUCGUAGAUAUUCGCAAGAACACCAGUGGCGAAGGCGGCUCACUGGCCCGGUACUGACGCUGAGGAGCGAAAGCGUGGGGAGCAAACAGG
rnacentral:rRNA from 1 species